GACUGAGUGGCGGACGGGUGAGUAACGCGUGGGUAACCUGCCUUGUACAGGGGGAUAACAGUUGGAAACGGCUGCUAAUACCGCAUAAGCGCACAGAGCUGCAUGGCUCGGUGUGAAAAACUCCGGUGGUAUAAGAUGGACCCGCGUUGGAUUAGCUAGUUGGUGAGGUAACGGCCCACCAAGGCGACGAUCCAUAGCCGACCUGAGAGGGUGACCGGCCACAUUGGGACUGAGACACGGCCCAAACUCC
rnacentral:rRNA from 1 species